rnacentral:rRNA from 1 species
AGUGAACGCUGGCGGCAUGCUUAACGCAUGCAAGUCGCACGGGCAGCAAUGUCAGUGGCGGACGGGUGAGUAUCGCGUAGGAACAUGUCCAGAGGUGGGGGACAACCCCGGGAAACUAGGGCUAAUACCGCAUAUGAGCUGAGGCUCAAAGCAGUGAUGCGCCUUUGGAGUGGCCUGCGUCCGAUUAGGUAGUUGGUGGGGUAAAGGCCUACCAAGCCUGCGAUCGGUAGCUGGUCUGAGAGGACGACCAGCCACACUGGGACUGAGACACGGCCCAGACUCCUACGGGAGGCAGCAGUGGGGAAUAUUGGACAAUGGGGGCAACCCUGAUCCAGCAAUGCCGCGUGGGUGAAGAAGGUCUUCGGAUCGUAAAGCCCUUUCGGCGGGGACGAUGAUGACGGUACCCGCAGAAGAAGCCCCGGCUAACUUCGUGCCAGCCGCCGCAGUAA